CACCUUCGGUGUCCGAGUUGUAAUCUCGAGAAGUGUUUUCCGCGCCGGACCGCAUAUAAGUCUGUUGGAAUACAGCGUCAUAGUGGUGAGAACCCCGUAACUGAUGCGGAUGCCCGGUGCUCUGUGAUACACUUUCGAAGAGUCGAGUUGUUUGGGAAUGCAGCUCAAAUUGGGUGGUAAAUUCCAUCUAAAGCUAAAUAUUGGCGAGAGACCGAUAGCGAACAAGUACCGUGAGGGAAAGAUGAAAAGCACUUUGGAAAGAGAGUUAACAGUACGUGAAAUUGUUGGAAGGGAAACGCUUGAAGUCAGACUUGCUAUUUGGAGUUCAGCCUCACGGUGUAUUCUUCAAUUUGCAGGCCAGCAUCAGUUUUGAGGGGAGGAAAAGGACACUGAGAAGGUAGCAGUUUCGGCUGUGUUAUAGCUCUAUGUUGGAUUCUUCCUUUGGGACUGAGGAACGCAGCACGCUUUUUG
rnacentral:rRNA from 1 species